rnacentral:lncRNA from 1 species
AGUGCCUCAGAGACAUACUGGGGAGGGCCUUAACAUUCCAGCAGAAACUUUCAAGGUUUAAUUUCUCAUCAAAGCAUCAGUCAUUCACCUUAACCAGAGCUUCCCCUUCCAGAUUUUGCAGAGCAGGUAAUCUCUCUGUAUAUUUACGUUUAAGCACUCCAAGCAUUAUUGUGUUAUGUAUACCCAUACUCCUCCACAUGGAGGUGAUGAAAACACCGGCAAUGAUGUUCCAGGAGCUAUAUAUAGAGAUACUUCUGAAGCUCUUUAAAGAGGUGCUCCAGUCAACAACGGCGGACCCAUUACUCAUGUCAUGGUGAAAGGCAAGAAACAGCCUCUAAACCUACCAAAAACCAUGUUCGCAAUGGUUAAGCUUCAGAUUACUGGAGCCUAAUGGAAUGUUGCAGACUUCCACAACUGCUUUUUGUCGUUUUCUUAAAAAAAAUCUUUAAUAAAUGUGUACUUGAGCUAUUUGGCUCUGUAUUUCAGAUGACUUAGAAAAGAGCCUCCUACAGUUAUUUAUGUGUACUUGAGCUAUUUGGCUAUGUAUUUCAAAUGACUUAUAAAAUAGACUCCUUCAACUAAUUUAUAUUUGCUUACACUUUUCAAGUGUAUUAAACGAAUAACUGGUAACAGAGUCAAAUAUAUUGUUUCACCUGCUAGCUGAUUCGUUAAAAUGUCUUUUAAUAGUUGUAUGAAUUGUUAAAAUCUAACCUUAGCUAUUUUGACCCGUUUUAAAGUGCAUGUAACAUCUCUUCUUAAACACACGUCCACUACAAGAAAGCUAUGUUUAUGUCCUUUUGCUGAUAUUUUUAACCAAAGAACUGGUAAGAGAUACAAAUAUAUUGCAAUUCCUUCGUGACGUCUUACAUAUAGAAAAGUAUAACAACUCCUUCUCAUCAUAUUAUCGAUAAUUUGUAUUAAAACAGUGAGAGCAAAAUACAUUCCCAGACUCAACCACGUUGUAUCUUAGGGUCACACGGCAUAUCACACUCUCUGUGAUAAAAAUAUCUAUGUUGUAGAGCAACUUGCGACAAAAUAAUACUCUGUCCAUGAGGUUCCUUUGUGUACGUUUUUUCUUAAGCGGGCCAAUGAAAAAUAAUCAUCAUAUACUAAAAGGGAUAUAUGAGGAGUAGGGAGGCUGUCCACGUCACCACAAAAAAUCGACCAAUAAUAGUCAUUUGUUUUGCCACGUCAUCAGUAUUUGUCCCGAGAAGGAACUUACGGGAAGGUUUACAGACCCAGAGAGAAAACUACUGGAAAGAUCGUCGCUCUCAAGAAGACGCGUCUCCAUGAAGACGAAGAAGGCGUUCCUUCCAUCACUCUCCGCGAGAUCUCCAUCUUACGCAUGCUCGCUCGCGAUCCUCACAUCGUCAGGUUCGGAUUCCUUCUCUCACUCUCUCUAUUGGAGUUGCAUUAGGGUUUCGUAUAGCAUAGUGUUCGUUUCGUUAGAUCCCGAUUUCGUAUUGCUUGGUUGAUUCGUUAGAUUGGAGAUGAUUGAUCUCAAUUAGGAUUUUGGAUGAUCAAUUAGGAUUCUGGAGAUGAUUCGUAGAGUUGAUAGAUCUCAAUUAGGAUUCUGGAUGAUAAACCACUGCAUCUUGAUCCUCAGUAUCUGUUAGUUUCAUCUAUUUGCUUUUCUGAUUGUUGAUUUUCUUCAGGUUGAUGGAUGUUAAGCAAGGACUGAGCAAAGAUGGCAAAACUGUGCUCUACCUGGUGUUCGAGUACAUGGACACUGACGUCAAGAAGUACAUCAGAAGUUUCCGUCAAACCGGAGACAACAUUCCUCUCCAAAUCAUCAAGAUCUUGAUGUACCAACUCUGCAAAGGAAUCGCGUUCUGCCAUGGACACGGUGUGCUGCACAGGUAUAUAAUGUUUACAAGUGAUAAUGAUUUAAGAGAGAGAUCUUACUACUUUCUCUUGGUUUCGUUAACAGAGAUCUUAAGCCUUACAAUCUCUUGAUGGAUCCCAAGACGAUGAGGCUCAAGAUUGCAGAUCUUGGUUUAGCCAGAGCCUUCACUCUCCCUAUGAAGAAGUAUACCCAUGAGGUAAUAAUCUCUGUUGAUCUGUUUGAGCUCAAUGUCAUUGUAUCUGGUUCUAAACUGGUUGUUUUCCAUUGCAACAGAUAGUGACUCUAUGGUAUAGAGCUCCAGAAGUUCUUCUUGGUGCCACUCAUUACUCUACAGCUGUUGAUAUGUGGUCUGUUGGCUGCGUUUUUGGUACGUUUUACUCACUUCAAUAUCAAUUUUCACUUAUAAAAACUACAGAUAGUGACUCUAACGUUGUUUCUUUGACAUUGACAGCUGAGCUUGUGACCAACCAAGCGAUUCUUGCUGGGGACUCUGAGCUCCAACGUCCUCACCAUCACUCUCACUUAAACUUCUUAAUCAGACUUGAAAAAAUUCUUCGGUAACGUCUUCUUCCGAUUUGUUGCGUAAUCAGCCUUCGACGCUCUCCGUCUGGGUAGAUCGUCGCAGUUCAUUGUUGCUUGGCUUCUCCGUUUAUGGGACUCGGAAAACAUCAAGAAGUAUGGUAAAUUCAUGGGUAUCACUCUACUUCUCCUUGAUGAGAAGGUAUUGUAUCGAAAAAAGAGAAGAUUAUGUACUUUCGUUUUUUUGGUCGCUAUAUGUUUCAGAUUGUCUCUCAUCACACUGCAAGAAACUAUAUGAAGUCAAAGAAGGCAAAUAAGAGUUUGAUUUCAAGGUGGUCACCGAGACCGUUCCAAAAUGAGCGUGAUUAUGUCCCGUUGAGCUCUAUGGCUUGGCCAAAGACGAGUCUGAUUACGGAUGAUACACAACAAGGUAAGUAAGCGUACAAGUGGAUUUAUUUUUAUGAAUCAGAAUUUUAAGAAGAAUUUAAUCUGUUUAAUUUUUUAUAUUAUAGCUUCAAGAUAGAUAACAGUGACCUUCGAUAAAGGAGGCAAGCCUACUGUUAGAGUUGCUAGCCUUGGCCACGCGUUGCAUGUCUGGCUCAAUUGAGAAUACCUUGGUAAGAUGUGAGAUUGAGAAGGUGCAUAGCUAGAUGUUCUCACAAAAAUUAUGUGCUAACAAAAACAUUCAAGUUUGAUGAUGAAAUAUGUGAUUUUCUUGUGUGUGAACAGGAUAGUGUGUCUUAUCUGGAGCAUAGAUUCACAUGUCACACGUAGUGUUUCCAUCUUAGGGUUGAGCUCUGGACCACUUGAUCUCACUGAGAAAAACAAAUGGGGAAACAAGGUUUGUCAUGAAUCGUACUUUCUCAACCUCCAAGGCAAUUUUGAUCUGUUUUUUUUUUCAAAUUUGUAGGUGGGUAUUGAAGGCUAGAAGCUCUAUAUUCACACGAGAAAGGAUAGAAGAAGGUUAAGUGGCAGAAAUUCUCAUGAAAAGCACCAGGAUUUACCUGGUAUCAGGUGGAGUUACUAAAUCUUUUCAGAAUUGAAAAGAUAUAUUUGUCAUUUAGAUAGCAAGAUGUGAUCUAAUGAACAAUAUUUGAAAUAUCUGUUGCAGGCAUGCGCCAGGAGUUUAGUAAUAUUAAGUUUUCUUUUUCCAUCUGAAGAAGAUUCUUUAACGAAAUAAGGAAAAUAAAUAAGUAUGUAUUCCUCUUAGUAUCACUAGACAUGAAAAUAAAAAAUUUGUGCUCACUUCACCACCACAGGUUAGUUUAUAUCUAACUUAGCACCAACAUCUUAUGCUCAUUUGGUAUUCCUCUUACUGUCACUAGAUAUUAUAGACUGCAUACUGGGAAAGUUGAUAACUCUGAAACAUCACAUGAGUGGUGCUAUAUCUCAUGCUCCAAGAGCUCCUGGAAACUGCGGCGUGGGCUUUCAUCUUUCGUGUGUGGAUCAUAUCAUGAUGAAAAAGCUGUUGGCAUUGUAAGGUAAUCUAUGAUGCAAUUGGUUUCAUACAUGAUUUAGGUAUGCUCACACAAAAAAAACCAGUUUAACCCUUACACCUAACCAGUCGUCUCUCUCUUUGAUGACAAGUACCGGGUGGAGAUGGCAGUAUCAGAUGCAUCCGACUCUGCUCUGUUUGUGGCUUUCGAUGCUGAGAUGAACAAGCUGAUCAAUGUUCCUGCUGCAUGAGUGUCUCAAGGCAUGGUAACAUCAAUCAAUUGGCCUCUGUUAUUUGUGUGUAGCUUUAGUAAAAUUGAAAGGACUGUUUAGUUAUUUGUGAUUGUCCAACAGGGCACCAGCAUGGAGGAUGCACAUAACAUUGCUUUCCCACAGUGCCUCAGAGACAUACUGGGGAGGGCCUAUAUCUAACCUAUACUAAAAGGGUUAUAUGAGCAUUAGAGAAGUUGUCCACGUAUGACAAUUAAAUCAGCCAAUCAGGAGAUUUUUUUUUGACACGUCAGAUACGCAUGACAAAUUCUAAUUUUCCCAAAAUCGAAUCUCGAUCCCUUUCUCUUCGUCUUCUCCGUCUGCUAUUUUAGAUAGAAACUGACGGGAUUUAAUAAGAACAACAUCGUUGGGUGAGAAAACCAUUAUUAGGGGUAAAUUUUAUUCUUCGAGCAGUUUCCCUUCAUUCAACCUCCCAAAAUUAAAAAAAAAAGAAUUAUUGGCGACGCACAGGGACAAGAAGAGGUCAACAAAUCUGCCUCGAAGAUUUGAGAAAAAGGUCCAUAUAAUGAGACAGCGACGAUAUACCGCUGACUAGAACGCCCCUUCUUCUACAGGUGAAGGGAUGCUGCAGCCACGGGCAUGGAAGCUGCGUUUUGUAAACUCGCCACCACCGAUGAUAUUUACGUUUACCAGGAUCGAGGCGGAGGAUGGUUCUCCAAUAGCAAUCGAGCUCCUCGAUGCCGCCACAAACGCCCGAGUCACCUCCGACUUGCGGCUCGAGAUCGUAACGCUGCUGAUAUCGCCGAGGAAAGCUUCACCACCGAGGAGUUUAACAGGAAUAUUCUCCGACCACGGGAAGGGAAACCACCAUUGCUCGCCGGAGACCUGACUGUGACGCUUGAAGACGGGGUCGGAGUAGUCAGCGGCGACGUCACUUUCACAGAAAAUUCGAGCUGGACGAGAUGCAGGUUAGGUGCUAAAGUUAGACAACAAGGAGGAGUUGUGGAGGCCAUAAGUAGAGCGUUCGUGUGCAGAGAUCGUCCAAGAGGAGAGUGUGAGUAAAUUCAUAGUUUAGAAGACUUUAUUUUCACCCGCAUUUGGUAAAUCAAUUUUGAUUAUGCAGCUUAUUCUGAUUCUAAGGUACACGACAUGACCAAACACGGAGUUAAAGAAUCUCUUGAUGGAUCCCAAGACGAUGAGGCUCAAGAUUGCAGAUCUUGGUUUAGCCAGAGCCUUCACUCUCCCUAUGAAGAAGUAUAACCAUGAGGUAAUAAUCUCUGUUGAUCUGUUUGAGCUCAAUGUCAUUGUAUCUGGUUAUAAACUGGUUCUUUUCCAUUGCAACAGAUAUUGACUCUAUGGUAUAGAGCUCCAGAAGUUCUUCUUGGUGCCACUCAUUACUCUACAGCUGUUGAUAUGUGGUCUGUUGGCUGCGUUUUUGGUACGUUUUACUCACUUCAAUAUCAAUUUUCACUUAUAAAAACUACAGAUAGUGACUCUAACGUUGUUUCUUUGACAUUGACAGCUGAGCUUGUGACCAACCAAGCGAUUCUUGCUGGGGACUCUGAGCUCCAACGUCCUCACCAUCACUCUCACUUAAACUUCUUAAUCAGACUUGAAAAAAUUCUUCGGUAACGUCUUCUUCCGAUUUGUUGCGUAAUCAGCCUUCGACGCUCUCCGUCUGGGUAGAUCGUCGCAGUUCAUUGUUGCUUGGCUUCUCCGUUUCUGGGACUCGGAAAACAUCAAGAAGUAUGGUAAAUUCAUGGGUAUCACUCUACUUCUCUUUGAUGAGAAGGUAUUGUAUCCAAAAAAGAGAAGAUUAUGUACUUUCGUUUUUUUGGUCGCUAUAUGUUUCAGACUGUCUCUCAUCACACUGCAAGGAACUAUAUGAAGUCAAAGAAGGCAAAUAAGAGUUUGAUUUCAAGGUGGUCACCGAGACCGUUCCAAAAUGAGCGUGAUUAUGUCCCGUUGAGCUCUAUGGCUUGGCCAAAGACGAGUCUGAUUACGGAUGAUACACAACAAGGUAAGUAAGCGUACAAGUGGAUUUAUUUUUAUGAAUCAGAAUUUUAAGAAGAAUUUAAUCUGUUUAAUUUUUAUAUUUAUAGCUUCAAGAUAGAUAACAGUGACCUUCGAGAAAGGAGGCAAGCCUACUGUUAGAGUUGCUAGCCUUGGCCACGCGUUGCAUGUCUGGCUCAAUUGAGAAUACCUUGGUAAGAUGUGAGAUUGAGAAGGUGCAUAGCUAGAUGUUCUCACAAAAAUUAUGUGCUAACAAAAACAUUCAAGUUUGAUGAUGAAAUAUGUGAUUUUCUUGUGUGUGAACAGGAUAGUGUGUCUUAUCUGGAGCAUAGAUUCACAUGUCACACGUAGUGUUUCCAUCUUAGGGUUGAGCUCUGGACCACUUGAUCUCACUGAGAAAAACAAAUGGGGAAACAAGGUUUGUCAUGAAUCGUACUUUCUCAACCUCCAAGGCAAUUUUGAUCUGUUUUUUUUUUCAAAUUUGUAGGUGGGUAUUGAAGGCUAGAAGCUCUAUAUUCACACGAGAAAGGAUAGAAGAAGGUUAAGUGGCAGAAAUUCUCAUGAAAAGCACCAGGAUUUACCUGGUAUCAGGUGGAGUUACUAAAUCUUUUCAGAAUUGAAAAGAUAUAUUUGUCAUUUAGAUAGCAAGAUGUGAUCUAAUGAACAAUAUUUGAAAUAUCUGUUGCAGGCAUGCGCCAGGAGUUUAGUAAUAUUAAGUUUUCUUUUUCCAUCUGAAGAAGAUUCUUUAACGAAAUAAGGAAAAUAAAUAAGUAUGUAUUCCUCUUAGUAUCACUAGACAUGAAAAUAAAAAAUUUGUGCUCACUUCACCACCACAGGUUAGUUUAUAUCUAACUUAGCACCAACAUCUUAUGCUCAUUUGGUAUUCCUCUUACUGUCACUAGAUAUUAUAGACUGCAUACUGGGAAAGUUGAUAACUCUGAAACAUCACAUGAGUGGUGCUAUAUCUCAUGCUCCAAGAGCUCCUGGAAACUGCGGCGUGGGCUUUCAUCUUUCGUGUGUGGAUCAUAUCAUGAUGAAAAAGCUGUUGGCAUUGUAAGGUAAUCUAUGAUGCAAUUGGUUUCAUACAUGAUUUAGGUAUGCUCACACAAAAAAAACCAGUUUAACCCUUACACCUAACCAGUCGUCUCUCUCUUUGAUGACAAGUACCGGGUGGAGAUGGCAGUAUCAGAUGCAUCCGACUCUGCUCUGUUUGUGGCUUUCGAUGCUGAGAUGAACAAGCUGAUCAAUGUUCCUGCUGCAUGAGUGUCUCAAGGCAUGGUAACAUCAAUCAAUUGGCCUCUGUUAUUUGUGUGUAGCUUUAGUAAAAUUGAAAGGACUGUUUAGUUAUUUGUGAUUGUCCAACAGGGCACCAGCAUGGAGGAUGCACAUAACAUUGCUUUCCCACAGUGCCUCAGAGACAUACUGGGGAGGGCCUUAACAUUCCAGCAGAAACUUUCAAGGUUUAAUUUCUCAUCAAAGCAUCAGUCAUUCACCUUAACCAGAGCUUCCCCUUCCAGAUUUUGCAGAGCAGGUAAUCUCUCUGUAUAUUUACGUUUAAGCACUCCAAGCAUUAUUGUGUUAUGUAUACCCAUACUCCUCCACAUGGAGGUGAUGAAAACACCGGCAAUGAUGUUCCAGGAGCUAUAUAUAGAGAU